rnacentral:ncRNA from 1 species
UCACACCACUAGGGGAGUCUUUUUUAAGACUGAGAUGGAAUUAGUUCCGGACCCUUUGAACCUGAACCGGCUCAUACCGGCGGAGGGAAGUGGAUGAUAUCGUCC